AGCAAGAAGCGCCGGGAGUCCGGAGUGAAGUGCGUUUCAGGGGCUCGUGGAAACGCCCAGGAGCGCAAGGGGGCAGCGCCGAUAGUGCAGCCUGGGAGGAAAGUAGCCGACUGCAGUCUGGCCUGUCGCACCAAGCUGGCCGGGGAUGGGGCCCGCAGCUUCCCAGCCAAGCCUAUGUGAAGCAACAGUCAAGGUAGUUGCAGUUUUACAAAGACACAGCGUUUC
rnacentral:lncRNA from 1 species